CCAACAGGUAGUCCAACCAAGUAGUACGAGCCCAAAUUAAUAUACGCAACCCAUGAUUGCCAUCCCGAACCUACUGCUACUCCUAGAUGACCGGUUGAAUGCUGUUAAGAAGGAUAGUGGCAGCUAAGAGCCAUGCCAUGUUAUCAACCGCAUCAAGAACAACCGUGCUCGAUGAGAAUAUUAGAGCGAACUUGUUAUGAAAUACAACUAUUAAUACACAAAAUACUAGCCCGAUGACAGUUGAAUGCAAUAUAGCCACAAAUGUUGCAUAUUUCGCCC
rnacentral:lncRNA from 1 species